AGUGAACGCUGGCGGUAGGCCUAACACAUGCAAGUCGAACGGCAGCACAGUAAGAGCUUGCUCUUACGGGUGGCGAGUGGCGGACGGGUGAGGAAUACAUCGGAAUCUACUUUUUCGUGGGGGAUAACGUAGGGAAACUUACGCUAAUACCGCAUACGACCUACGGGUGAAAGCAGGGGAGCUUCGGACCUUGCGCGAUUGAAUGAGCCGAUGUCGGAUUAGCUAGUUGGCGGGGUAAAGGCCCACCAAGGCGACGAUCCGUAGCUGGUCUGAGAGGAUGAUCAGCCACACUGGAACUGAGACACGGUCCAGACUCCUACGGGAGGCAGCAGUGGGGAAUAUUGGACAAUGGGCGCAAGCCUGAUCCAGCCAUACCGCGUGGGUGAAGAAGGCCUUCGGGUUGUAAAGCCCUUUUGUUGGGAAAGAAAAGCAGCAGGUUAAUACCGCGCUGUUCUGACGGUACCCAAAGAAUAAGCACCGGCUAACUUCGUG
rnacentral:rRNA from 1 species